rnacentral:lncRNA from 1 species
AUUGAUCUUCUUCACCUCUUUCUCUCUCACCCUGGCUGCCUACCACCGGAAAUCGUUAACGGCGACGGCACCCUCCAAAUAACUCCAAAUUCUCACCCUAUUAUUACCGUAUUUUCCCCAUCCCAUAUGUCCUCUCAAUUUACUUUAAAAUAUCAUUGAUAUAUUGCUCUUGCCGAUUGAUGUAAGUUUUAUCUCAUUUUGAAACCAUCGGAAUUCGUCCGUACCUCGCUUUAAAGUCACUUCAAUUGCUUUGUCUUUCUUUCAAUAUGUAUACCCUUGUCUCAUUCUAAUAUCUUUUUUUUUGUUGUUGUUAUGGUUAAAAACAGUUUGUUAGUCAUUAU